GAUGAACGCUGGCGGCGUGCCUAAUACAUGCAAGUCGAGCGAACAGACGCGGAGCUUGCUCCUCUGACGUUAGCGGCGGACGGGUGAGUACCACGUGGAUACCCUACCUAUAAGACUGGGAUCACUUCGGGAACCCGGAGCUCAUACCGGCUGAUAUAUUGAACCGCAUGGCUCACAAGAGAAAGACGGUUUUGCUCUCAGGUAUAGAUGGAUCCGCGCCGCAUUAGCUAGUUGGUAAGGUAACGGCCUACCAAGGCAACGAUGCGUAGCCGACCUGAGAGGAUGAUCGGCCACACUGGAACUGAGACACGGUCCAGACUCCUACGGGAGGCAGCAGUAGGGAAUCUUCCGCAAUGGGCGAAAGCCUGACGGAGCAACGCCGCGUGAGUGAUGAAGGUCUUCGGAUCGUAAAACUCUGUUAUUAGGAAAGAACAAAUGUGUAAUUAACUAUGCACGUCUUGACGGUACCGAAUCAGAAAGCCACGGCUAACUACGUG
rnacentral:rRNA from 1 species